rnacentral:tRNA from 1 species
GAAAAAUUAGUUAAAAUAUAACAUUAGUAUGUCAAGCUAAAAUUAUUAACCUUUAAUAUUUUUUA